UGGCCUCCAGCUUGACCUCAAGCCACUGACCACAACCCUUUAAGCGUGGCAGUUCAGUCAGUUUUCAAUUCACCCCACUGUCCAUUUACCUAGUCCAUCAGUUUCUCUGAGGAUGCUAUGGGAGACAGUGUUGAAAGUCUUGCUCAAGUCAACAUAAAUAAUGUCAACUACUCUCCCUUCCUCCACCAAGCCACCUGUAUCAUCUCAUCAUAGGGGAGGCAUAAUCUCCACUUUGUAAAUCAAUGCUGACUACUCCCCAACACCUUCUUGUCCUUAACAAGUUUGGAAAUCCUUCCCAGGGACUGAGGUGAGGCUGCCUGCUCUACAGAUUCUUGGCUCUUCCUUUUUGCCCUUCCUGAAGAAAGCAGUGACAUUUGUUUUUAUUCCAGUCCGCAGGAACCUCCCCUGACCAUCAAGACCUUUCAGAGAUUAGCAAGAGUGGCCUCACAGUGACAUCAGCCAGCUCUAUGACGUUAUAACUUGCAUAAUUCAAAUCUACAGGAAGCAGCAUGUUCCAUGAAUUUCAGGAUUUACAGGCAGGAAGAAAACUGAUCCUCAAUUGUACAUGACAGUGAUCUUUAACCUUUGGAAUUAAGGAAGCAGCACAUUCCAUGAAUUGCUGGAUUGGCAGGGAGGCAGAAAAUUGAUCUGUAAUUGUACAUGGGAAUGAUCUUUAACCUAUGAAAUUAAGAUUCACCUGAGAUUUUCCCAGACGUAGGUGGACCAAGACCUACUGUAGCUCAUGUAUGAAUAUUUGCACAGACCUGGUUAACUACAGUACCAGCUGAAAAUGCAUGGUAAGAGGAGAAAACUGUUUUCCACAAAAGAAACCCAAAGUGGUAUUGAUUUUAACAGUGCACAACACACUAUAAAAGAAAGAAAAACACUUUAAAAUACAACAAUCUGCAACAAGUGUUAUCAGAGUUCCAUUCACAGAAGGACAAACUAGGCAUCAGAUGAAGAAAGCAGAAUAACUUAAGUAUCUGCAGUACAACACCUUCCCAACCAGAGCGCUCAAUGUGACAUUGUGUUUGAGAGAUGAAGUUGUGCUUGGGAGAAUUCCUGCAUUGCCUUAUAAUUCAUGCCAGACAGCUGAUGAUAAGAGGCUGGCUGCAGCCCAGCACACAGACAGCCUCUACCUUCCCAUCGACCUGUCCUCACAGGCAGCGCUGUGAUAAUUCAUGCUCCUGGUCCUGGGGGUAAGGAGAAACUUCUCAGUCCCAUGCCUCAGCUCCCCAGGGCUGUAGGGCUGUCAGGUUAUGUGUUCCUUUCCUUAUCACUCAAAAGCAGAGCCUCACAUUGCUCCUGGUGACAUGCUGCCUCCAGGACGGUUUCCAUUAGUGUGAUAUGAAGGGACAGUAGAGCAAGGCAGGGUGGAAAGCUGGGAGAGGGACAUGGUGACAUCUCCAACACUGAGCAUGCAGACACUGGCUGUAGUCCCAUCACCACUGGAAAAGCCUCCUUAGCUGCUAUGGUCAAGAAAAUAAUCUUGUUCUGUGAAGUAUGGGCAAAAUUAAACAGUUCAUAACUUC